ensembl:lncRNA
CGCAGCACCCACAUCCGCUCCAGUUGAGGCAAAGCAGCCGAGGCAGCGGCGGCCCCGGAAAUAAAUGGGAGCAAUGGGGGCCGGCAAGCCAGAGGAGAGAGAUUCGUGUGGGGAAAAAUUUUAACAGGCUGUGAGAACCGAGCAGAUGUGGACAUGGGGCAGGGAGACAGCACUGGGAAAGUCACACAAAAUGAGAACAUCUAAGUAGGGAAUAAGGAAAGAAUCUCAAGGACAUUGUUUAGAAUAUGACUACAUUAUUUUGAAUUAUGAUUGCCGGGAAUAUCAAGAUGCUGCCUAUAGUUGGUGAAAAUGUAACCUGUGUUUUGCAUCUUUGGGGGCUCCUACAGUAGAAAGCAGUUGCUCCCUGAAACACUUCAUUUUCCGCUGUUGACUCCAAACCCUCAGAAACUUGCUUCAACAUUCAGCCCACCGAUUUUUCUGUCUUUAUCUCCAAGCUCAUUGUGAUGAACAGUUGGGGUUCACCAGACUGAUGGAAGAUACCAAGGGCUAUCGAAGUUGGACUUCCAACAAACCAACAUUAAUAAGAGGAAUGGAAAGCUGAUAUGAGGUGAAGACAAUGAUAGUUUCUUGCAUAGCAGGAAAUGGAUGUGUAUCCCAAGUCUCCGCUUUUAACAGCAUUCCUUUCCGUUGUCUAAUCACUGGCGUUCCUGAGGGUCAUUCUGCAUAAGUGACAAUCACAGCUUUCCUUUCCAAAUCAACUGGAGUGUCUUACUUUGUUUCUGAAUGCAGUUUGCUUAACUUUUCUUUUUUGUGUGUUGAGCCUUUGGAGACUCUCUUUUUCCUCCCUGCGGCUGCUGCUAAGUCACUUCAGUUGUGUCCGA